GUUUCCAGAGACACAUUUUUCUUCUGUGAACGAGAUUUACUGUGAGCUGUCUCAAGAAAGAUGUCCUUGCUUUUUAGGAGACCCACACUAACCAGGUUGCUGCUGCUGAAGAACAUUAAGCAAAAUCAGAGGUCAACCAUCUGCAGCAAGCCACCCAAGGAAAAGAUUGGGCCAGUGCAGUCUACCUUUGCCUUAUGCGUGUUUGCUGUGAUUCUCCUGGCCCCGGCUGGUUGGAUCAUGCAUCAUAUCCCAGAAUAUCGAAGACAAGGCCAGAAUACCUCAACAUGAUUGAUUUCUACAGGAACUCUGCAGACAGACACCCAAGCAAUGUCACUGUGUGAACCUCUCUCCACUGUGUAAAAUCUCGUGAAAAAAAGUAAAACCUUUGUUAAAUCU